rnacentral:rRNA from 1 species
GACGGAGGAUGCAAGCGUUAUCCGGAAUGAUUGGGCGUAAAGCGUCCGCAGGUGGCGGUUCAAGUCUGCUGUCAAAGACCGGGGCUUAACUUCGGAAAGGCAGUGGAAACUGAACAGCUAGAGUAUGGUAGGGGCAGAGGGAAUUCCUGGUGUAGCGGUGAAAUGCGUAGAUAUCAGGAGGAACACCGAUGGCGAAGGCAGAUCUCUGGGCCGUAACUGACGCUGAGGAGCGAAAGCAUGGGGAGCGAACAGG